AUUGAACGCUGGCGGCAGGCCUAACACAUGCAAGUCGAGCGGAUGAAGGGAGCUUGCUCCUGGAUUCAGCGGCGGACGGGUGAGUAAUGCCUAGGAAUCUGCCUGGUAGUGGGGGAUAACGUCCGGAAACGGGCGCUAAUACCGCAUACGUCCUGAGGGAGAAAGUGGGGGAUCUUCGGACCUCACGCUAUCAGAUGAGCCUAGGUCGGAUUAGCUAGUUGGUGGGGUAAAGGCCUACCAAGGCGACGAUCCGUAACUGGUCUGAGAGGAUGAUCAGUCACACUGGAACUGAGACACGGUCCAGACUCCUACGGGAGGCAGCAGUGGGGAAUAUUGGACAAUGGGCGAAAGCCUGAUCCAGCCAUGCCGCGUGUGUGAAGAAGGUCUUCGGAUUGUAAAGAACUUUAAGUGGGGAGGAAGGGCAGUAAGUUAAUACCUUGCUGUUUUGACGUUACCAACAGAAUAAGCACCGGCUAACUUCGUG
rnacentral:rRNA from 1 species